GAGCCUGUGCCGGCCGUUGCCGGCCUCCCAGGGGUUUUCGCCAAGCUCAGGAGGCGAGGGGACAGGACGGCGUUUCCCUUAGCCUCGGGCCGCUCGCCAGGAGCUUCAGGGCCUUGCCCGCCCUCGGGGCCAGCCCAGCAGUUAAACUCAUCGCAGACGCAGUGCGCGGGUGGGCUUCAAACCCCUGCAGGAGGAGAGGCUGUCUGGGAAGGCCAGCCUGGCGCCCCGAGAUGGCUGUGUUCGGGCGCCUGCUGCCAGGCAGGCUCUGCAGAGAGGAUCCGCUGUGGACGCCUUCUGCGAGGACCACGAGGCGCUCGCCACGACCGCCGCCAGCGCCCCGUCCCCCUCCCGGAGGAAGCCGCGGGAGCUCAGAGCUGUGCGGGUUGGUUUGUCCUGCCUGCACCUUCUUGGCCGCUCCAGAGGCUCGCGCGCGUUUCCGUGGCCCAAGAGGGUGCUCCUCUUUGGUCACAGCAUCCCGGGGAGUCCCAUGGAGUCACUCGGCACCUCGUGCUCCCGAGAUUGACGUGUGGAAGACGUGUGCGGCAUGGCGCGUACCCAGCUCCACUGUGGCCGCUUGAAGCCUUGAGGACACAGCGAGGGCCUGCUCUCCUUGCUCUGGAGGUUCCCGAUCUUUUGCUUUCUCAUUGUUUUUUCUUCCCUUUUCUUUUCUUUUCUUUUCUUCGUCCAGCACGUUCUUGGAAUCCGAAUUCCACUCUAGGAGUUGAAAACGCUUUUGGGGAGUUGCUGCCUCACUCCCUCUCACAAGCAGGCUGAUUCCUCGGCCCAGCCUGAUCUGUGGGACACUCCAGUGCCUCCUGGGGAGUCCCGUGGAUCCUGCUGACCAGCCAUCCCACCAGGGGUGAUGUGAGAAUGAACUUGUCCGGACAGUCAGGGCAUUUCUCCCCGUCGCCGACUUCACUGUGGCCGACGAAAACAGAGGUCUAGGAAAGCGUGCGUGCUGUCCUCGGAUCUGGUGCUUCAGCAUCUAUUGCUUUCCUGUGCGUGGAAUCCUAAUUCCAUUGAUAUUGUUGAAGUCUCUCUCAUGAGCCCGCUCCCUGCCGUCUUCGAACUCAGGCUUUUCCUGGCCCCAGCCUGAACUUUGGGACGUUCCAGUGCCUCCAGGGGAGUCCCGGGGGGCCUGCCUGCUGACCAGCCAUCUCACAAGGGAUGAUGGGAGAAUACCUGGGUACCUAGUUCAGGACAUUUCUCCCCAUGCCCAGGUUCACUGUGGCCGGUAAAACAAGGGUAUUCGAUAACGCGAGUGCUCUCCGUGGCUCUGGUGCUCCAGAGCCUUUGGGUUUCCUGUGUGUGGAAUCCUAAUUCCAUUGAUAUUGUUGAAAUCUCACUCCUGAGCCCGCUCCCUGCCGUCUUCGUACUCAGGCUUUCCCCUGGCCCCAGCCUGAUCCGUGGCCCGUUCUAGUGCCCCUGGGGAGUCCCGUGGGUCCUGCCGACCAGCCAUCCCACCAGGCAGGUUGUAAGAAGACGAGUGUUCCUACGUUCAGGGCAUGUCUCCUUAUGCCCAGCUUCGCUGUGGCUGAUGAAACCAGAGUUCUGGGAAAGCUCGCCUGCGCUCCUUGGCUUGGGUGCCCCAGAGUCCUUUGGUUUCCUCUGUUUGGAAUGCUAAUUCCGUUGAUAUUGUUGAAAUCGCUCUCGGGAGCCUCCUGAAGGGCCCUCAUUCUGAACCAGGCUGAUUCUUGGACCAAGCCUGAUCUGUGGGCCGAUUCGUUGUGUCCUGGGGAAUCCCGUGGGUCCUACACUUGAUCUUAGCCAAAAG
rnacentral:lncRNA from 1 species